UCCGGCUUAACGCCGGCGGUCUCCUUAGAGUGCCCAACUGAAUGAUGGCAACUAAGGACAAGGGUUGCGCUCGUUAAGGGACUUAACCCGACAUCUCACGAUACGAGCUGACGACAGCCAUGCAGCACCUAAACCACAGGUCCCCGAAGGGAAGACCUCAUCUCUGAGGCUGUCCUGUGUUGUCUAACCCAGGUAAGGUUCUUCGCGUUGCAUCGAAUUAAACCACAUGCUCCACCGCUUGUGCGGGCCCCCGUCAAUUCCUUUGAGUUUUAACCUUGCGGCCGUACUUCCCAGGCGGGGAACUUAAUGCGUUAGCUGCGGCACUGCAGGGGUCAAUUCCCGCAACACCUAGUUCCCAUCGUUUACGGCGUGGACUAC
rnacentral:misc_RNA from 1 species